GAUGAACGCUGGCGGCGUGCUUAACACAUGCAAGUCGAACGAUGAAGCCCAGCUUGCUGGGUGGAUUAGUGGCGAACGGGUGAGUAACACGUGAGUAACCUGCCCUUAACUCUGGGAUAAGCCUGGGAAACUGGGUCUAAUACCGGAUAGGAGCGUCCACCGCAUGGUGGGUGUUGGAAAGAUUUAUCGGUUUUGGAUGGACUCGCGGCCUAUCAGCUUGUUGGUGAGGUAAUGGCUCACCAAGGCGACGACGGGUAGCCGGCCUGGGAGGGUGACCGGCCACGCUGGGACUGAGAUACGGCCCAGACUCCUACGGGAGGCAGCGGUGGGGAAGAUUGCACAAUGGGCGCGAGGCUGAUGCAGCGACGCAGCGUGAGGGAUGACGGCCUUCGGGUUGUAAACCUCUUUCAGUAGGGAAGAAGCGAAAGUGAGGGUACCUGCAGAAGAAGCACGGGCUAACUACGUG
rnacentral:rRNA from 1 species